UCUACACUGCUUUCCAUAAUGGCUAUACUAAUUUACAUUCUCACCAGCAUUGUAUAAGGGUUCCCAUUUCUCCACAUCUAUGCCAGCAUUUGUUUUUUUGUCUUUGUGAUACUGGCCAUUCUUAUAGGUGUGAGAUGAUCCUUUACUGUGGGAAAGUAUCCUUAUUGUAUAGAACUAUUUUAACCAAGGCUCACAGGUUAUCUCCCUACCAUUUUUAUUUUUAAUCUAAAGUGCUAUCAGAUUUUUAAUUCCUAUGCAUAACAUACAGUAAACCUCAUCUGGAAGACCUGUACAUGGCACAGUGCAGGCUGCUCAAUUUUUCUGUCUUGGAAGGAUGAAAGGCUAAGUUGAAAAAUCAUUUAUCAGUUUCACUCCAGUUGUUACAUUUUGACUUUAGAAACAUCCUUCAUCUCCUGAGUCUCAUAAUCUCCUGCCUUUGAGGUUGUGUCAUAGAUAUUAUAUCACUCAAGUGCUUUCAAUUUGAACUUCAAGAGGGUUGCCUAUGUCUCCGAAGUUGCCUUUAGGGACUAUUUUACAGUUAUUAUUUCAGCUCCUCCCACCCUAGCUUGUUGAAGAAAGUUCUCUAACCAAAGGUAAUUCUAAUUGCCUUUGAAAUCAGCACUAGUCAAAGUGUGCAGUAGUUUUAUGAAGACGGAGACCUCAACCUGAAGUUUCUUAAAAAGAAGACACAAUAAGAAGGCUCAAGGUACCCUUUUGUCCUUCAAAAUGAACUGCCAGUGCCUCUGCCUUCGUGCCUUCAGUGAACAUAUUACAUUGGAACGAGAUUAUACUUGUGGUUUUACUUAAGAAUAACUCUCCAAGAAACGUGUUGUUUAGCAAUAUUCCUUUCAAAUUCAUAAGCCCUAAUUGAAAUUACUUUCCAUUCUAUCUUUGUAGCAAGACUUAAGCUUCAUGAAUGGAUAGUAAUUCUGCCCUCAUGUUUCAGGGCUCUGCCUUCAUGCUCUAUUCUGCUUCCUUUCCUCCAAUGAAUGUCUUUCCCCUUGACUAUAUCACUUAAAAAGCUAUUCUUUAAAAUUAAUGGUAUUGCUUCUUAUUUAUAUAUUUUACCUCCUUAACCAUACUGCAAACCUCUCAGAGUCAGGAACUGUAUGCCUUGUAUUUAUUUUGCAUUUUCACACAAUGGUCACUUAGUUCAAAUAAUUCAUAAAUUUUUAGAAUCUAGGGUAUAAUGUCACAAAAUAAGGCAUAGUUCUUGUCUUCAUAGUGCUUUUUAACCUUUAGAAGAGAUAUGACAUGCAAGUCUAAUAUACAGGAGUUAUUAAAGAGAGCAAAAUCAGUUUCUUCUCAGGAAAACAGUAAGGACAAACUUCAUGAAGGAGAUUGUAUUAGAGCCAGGCCUUAGUUGCACUAGAUUAUUGGGAUAUUUUAAUUUGCCUGUUUGCUGGAUCACAGCAUUUAUAGAGGAGACAUUUAAAGGAAACAAUGGGAUUGUAAUCCCUUCUAUGUGUAAUUCUUGGUGGUUGGCAAAACUCAUUCCCAUUUUUAUCUCAUUUUUGUCUCAUUACCCUUUGAAUCAACAUAUCACAUCUAUUAUUAACAUGUAAAAAUCUCACCUAUUUAGCUUUCAGAGUUUUGUUUUGUUUUGUUUUCCCUAAUUGCCUUGGUGGUUAGAAAACAGAAAUAACAGAGUCUUGACAUCUCUCUGCCAUGAUCUUUUGUGUUGAGAUUAGCACUCUUGAAGAAAGGAGAGAUUUGUUUAUAGCAUCUGCUCUGACAUGUCAGUACUGAUCCUACCCUGAUUGACCAGAUUUAUUAGUGACUGUCUUAUAAUACUACUGUAACAUUACUUUUGCUUUCCUUUUCCACCUCAUGCAAAGAGAAAUGAAGUAGGAACUUUUUGCUUGUUUGACGGUAUUCCUGAAUUUUUUGAUAUGCUUCUCUGGGGUGAUUUAGCUCUUUUGGAAAACACCUGCUAUGAUAUGUAAAAACAUUUAGAUUGCACUGUUUUGCUAAAUAAUUUUUCUUCCUUUAACAGAAGUAUAUUUUAAUGGUUUGGUUUGCUUUUUCUUUUUCUUUGUGUUCCAAUAUUCUUUGAGGAGAAUGGGAAAUGGAAGAAGAAACCUUAGUGAAAUAAGUUUUUUUGUGUUACAAAGAAACUGUUUAAUAAUAAAUGUUUCUCGAUCCACUUGAUGUCCACCUUUUUUUAACAAUGGCUUUUAUGGAAGGGAAAAUUUGGCUUUGAUUUUGCUUAGAUGAAAUUGCAUUCUUUUGCUAUUAUUCAGGAGACUGUUUCUCACCUGGUUGAUCAUUUCAACUAUUUCUUUCUGUGCUUCAAAUCAUCAGAAUCCCAUUUGCCCCACUGCAGACUUGGCAUGUCGAAUAAAUGUGAUGGCAGCAAUUAACAUCAUGAUUGCAAUGAAAAUAUAAAAAGGAAAUAGUUGCGAAGUUGUAGUAGGGAAAAACAAAAGCUGGAAAAGCUGCUUUUUAUAAAUAAGAUGAAAUUAUUUUCAUUCUUCCUACAUAGGAUUGAAAAAUAAACAAAUUCUCUGGUUAUUUUGCUUGUUGAUUGUUUCUGCCAUGUAGCUUAAGACUCUAUAGUUGUGGUUCAUUUUGCUUUUAAAUUUCAAGAACAAUACAAUAAAUUGGAGAGGUCAGUGUUCUACACAAAUUAAAAGAAAUGUACCAUUAGAAAAAGCCAAAGGAUUUACAAUGUUCCCUUACUUACACAUGAAUGUAAGCAUAAUUUUUCCUUACUAGUAGGUCAUUGUGUUAUUAUUGUGUAUUGCAGAAUGUAUUUCACUUGAAUUUAAAAAUAAUUAUUAAAUGGCUGGUAUUUCAAUUUUUAUUUAAAAGAACAUUAUCUAAAUAUUUACAUAAAGCAAAAGCAGCCAUUCUUUUCAUCCUGUUUACUAUUUUUCAUUAUUUAAUAUUGAUUUUUCUUUUUGUUGGUAUUAGAUUCUUAUUACAAUGCCUUUGCUCUUUGCCCUGUGAUGUUGCUUUGUUGGCUUGUUCAUCUACGUUGUAGACCUAGAUGACCUUCAUGUUCUAGUCCUUUUGAGUUUUUUACCGGGCUGAACCAAAUGAAAGCAAUUGGUUGCUAGUAAAAGAACUGGACAAAGGCAGAGAGGGGGGAUUUUAAGCAUGGGGUACUGCCUUAGAAAACAGCAGAUAUAUCUCAGUUCGGUCUAUGAAAACCAGCUUCUAUAAGGCUAGGCCACCACACUGUCAUUUUUUAUUAUUGGCUAUCCCUUAGUCUCUGUACACUGUUGAAAAAGUGAUGAUUCAUCACAGGAUGGUUUGAAAUAAUUGGCCUGUUCAAACCUUAACAGUUGGGGAAGUUGAUUUUCUAUAUUAUAUAACACUGAUGUCCAUUACCCAUGUAUAUUUGGGACACAGUCUGCCUCUUAACUGCAUUGUGCUUUACCUGUAUGUUUAGUUCAAAGUGAGAUUGGUUCCUAAAGCUUUUUAAACAAAGACUUUUUCUUUUUGCUGUUUUUGUCUUUUAAUAUCAAUAUUGAAUGAAAAUGUAUGGGAAUCAUUCAGAUAUGGUCAGUAGACAUUAAAAUAAAAAGGAAAAUGUUUGACAGUUUCCCUGGGUAAGCUGCUGAGGCAUUUAUAUAGCAAAAUGGUGUAUUAAAAGCCAAUUAUUAGAAUAAUGAUCAACAUAAAACCUGGGCUUUAAUUUACACAUCAUUAGAAGGUUGUCUGUUGUGGUUGAGGGUUUGGGGCAGUAUACAUUUGAGUCUUUGAGUACUCCUUCUUAUAAGUGUCUCGUGUGAAGAGAAUACAGAAAAAAAUCUUUAAAAACGUAAUUACUUAUCUUUCCCAUGAUUGUUGUUUAUUUUUUGUUCAGGUCCUGUUUUUCUUAUAGUAAAACAACUCAGUAUAUAUUUCUGGCUUUAGAUUGUUACAAAUUUAAUCUAGUUUCUCGGAAUAUUAAAUUUACAUUUAAAUGUUUUAUGUGCCAUUAAGUAUUGUUAGAGAAUUUUUAUAGAGGUUAAUAAAAGAGAGUUGCCCAAAUUCUAACUAUGUCAAUCUAAUAUUUAAUUAGUUGUGUGUUAGAAGGCAGAUAAAAAAAAUUUCACUUACAGCUAUUAAUAAUGGUUGCAGGGUGAAUUCUGGUAAGGUGUUAUAUAAAGGCCAGAUAAAAUAAAAUAUUGAUGUUUAAAAAGUUUGUGGAUAAGAAAUCUUUUAUUUUUCUUGUCACUUAAAAUUAAACCAAAAGAUAAUUUUGUCACACUCACGAAUAUUUAAAACAAUCUUUAAAUAGAGAAAAUCUGACCACAUUUCAUACUUCUACUCCUAAGAUAAAGGAAAAGAAGCAGCAAGAGUAGCAAAGGUUGGGAUAGGGAUGGGCAUACUUUACGUCAUUUCUCCCAAAAGGGUGGAAUUCAACAAGAAAUUUUUUUUCUAGCUAAACGGCCAUCAUUUUAUGUUUAUUGUUGUUAAGAAGAAGCCACCCAACUAAGAUGAAAAACACUGAAUAUACAUUAAAAUAUUGACACAAAAGAAAUAGCCAAAGGAUAGAUAUUUGUCAAUAAUGUGGAUAUACUUCAGAUUUUUAAUAAUACUAUUAUUGAAAUGUUAUAAAGGAUUGAAUAAAAUUUCCCUUUUAAAAAGUAGCAAUUCAUUUAACAAAAUAAUUUCUUAGUUUUAUCUAGGCUUCUUAACACCCUUGGACCUCUGAAUUAAUAUAUGUGCUGCCGAAGCGAGCACAUGGACCUCUGAAUUAAUAAAAGGAUUUAUAUAGUAUCUGGGUUAAAUAUGCUUUUCUUGUUUUUUUUUAUUUUGAUGCUCAUUUAAGAAUUUUGCUUAUAAUGUGCCAAACCUUUAGCUAUUUAGAUAUGUCCCAGUCAUACUUAAAAUGUUUACUUAGAGCUAGGUAUUUGGUAUGGUAUUGACCUGGGUAAUGAGUGUAUGACAAAAUGUUAUAAAUGAAAAGCUAUUUCUGACUUAAACUCUUGAUGUUUCUACAUUAGUGCUAGUAAAAUUUAUGUCUUCUUAGUUCCAAGUGGUGGUAUUUUAUAAUGCCAUAGCAAAGCACGAUUGGAAAUGAGAAGUGCUGUCUCUUAGAAGUUCUCUCAUAUUUCAGCUAAAACAUACUCAGCAAAAAAGAUAUGUAAAUUAAAAGAAAAUCUCCAAUUUUCUAUUCUGAGUAAAGCUUUGAUUUUUGCUGAUUCAGGAAGUAAGGUUGACAUUGGAGCUUCUCAUUUCAUCUGGAAUAAUCACUUUUUCCUUUUGAAAAGUCUUUCAUUUUAGCAGCAGUAUCUUCUAAAACAGUCCAUUUUGCAUGGAUGAACCUGUUUUUCUCUAGAUAACACAGAAAAUACAACUAUCAUAAACGGUAACCUGCUUUCUAUAGUAUAGCUUUCCUGAGUGCCCAGUGAGAUACCAAAGUGCCAGGCUGUUCAUUCUGGAGAUUUCACUGAUUUUCUUAGCUGCAUCUCUACUCUAACCCCCCAAAUAACAACCCCCAAUAGAAAAAUUUUAUAACUUCCGAAUUGACUACUGUAAUAAAAUGUUUAAGCCCAGGGUUAGAUAAAUAAGAUGCUGACUACCUAAUGAAAGUGUCUAAUGUCAGUAGAGCUCUCCCCCAAGUCAGUGGCUUAUCAGCUUAGGAUCAUUCAGAAUAUAUUAUUCCAGUUCUUGAAACAUUGUACCAUUGUUUUUUUUUUGUUGUUGUUGUUAAAAUUGGUGUUGAUUUAUCUUAGUGAUGCUGAUAUUUUCCUCAGAUUUUCCAUUAGUAUUUUUUCUCCCAUCUGAAUAAUCUGAAUAAAUAAUGAACUUGCUUUUGUUAUAGGAGUAGGUACAUAGGACAUCCAAUAGCAUUCUAAAUGUUUGGCUGCCAAAUAAGGAAAUCAUAACUGCUUAUUUGUAUUAAAUUAGUAUUAAAUAAAAUGAUUAACAUUUGAAAAUGUUUUGGUAUAAUCUACAUGUAAUCCAUUAAAAUUUCCAAACUAAUGUCAAAUUCUUUAUUACUAGGCUUUCUGCCCAAUGAUGUUCAGAGGAAAUUGAGUUUUUGUUUAGCAUCUAAGUUAAAUGAAAAUGUAUAUGAUGUUUAGCUUUGAUUAGAGAGUUACAAAUGGAUCUGUGAAGUUUUGGUUAUAUAAUUUCUAUACUAUAUGUAUGGGGGCACUUCUUUGCUUCCCAUGAUAGUUGGGAUGGUGUUGUGGAACAAAUGUAUUCUUGUGCAGUCUUGUUCACAGUAUGUAUUUCUGUUGCUUUUUGAAGUGUUAAUGCUGUGUAAUACCGACUACUUAUAUCAAAAUUUGUACUCUAUGUAGAUAGUGCUUUUGAACUUCUUUCUGAUAGUACAUGUUCCUGUAUUAAUACAAUAAAGCCAAGCUGACAGGGUGACAUAGUGAAGCUCUUAUUAAAAAUGUAUUGUAAUUGUUGCUGAGAUACUAAUGGAAAUCUAGAGCUUGCUGCCUCAGGUUAUUUUAAAUUGUGUAUUUUAUGUUUACAUUUUACAUUUACAUAUUAAUUUUAUCUGUUAAGAAUUGCUUUCAAAUUAAAAGAUUUGUAUAUGGUUAGACAAGAGUAUGAAAGUAAUUUGGACUUAAGAAAUCAGUUCUUUGUAUCAGCACAUUGAAUGGUUUUGUAUUAAGGAAAGCUAGAUUCAGUGACAAGUUUGACCCCUCACAUCUGGAAUUGCCAUGAGAGAAAAGCAAUCAUGGGAAUCCUAUAUGUAUACUUAUCUAUGACAUGAGAAGCAUAUUUCUUUUUUUUAAGCAUAUUUCUUUCAUUUUAGAAAAACAAAAAGCUCAGAUUAUUAUGAUUAAUAAAGUUUUUUGUCCAAAACAUAGUUAAGAAUUAUGGCAGGAAAUAUAGAAAUAUUUCUGAGCCAAGUUUAUGGCAUCCAAAUACUACAGCUUUUAAAGGAAUUCAUGGAUAAGCCAUUUGAAAUUUAUGUAUAUUUGUUUUAUGUUGAUAUCAUAGGUCUAUCUUAUAAAAUUUACGCAUAUUAUGAAAACAGAUUUUAAGUAUUUAGUAAGGCCUUCUCUGGAAAAUUCUAAACCUUUGUUUUAAAAUUACAUCUGUAGAUCAUCUGGUCACUCUGAUAUUGUGAAAUUAUUUUAACAUUGAGUAUUGCUGGCUGCAUGUUUUGGCAACUCUUUAAUCCAACUGUUUAUUUUUGACAAAAUCUUACUUUUUGAAAAGAGCUCAUUUUAGAGGGAUAUUAAUAUUACUUUCUCAGUUUUUAAAACUACCAUUUUGUAAUUUACUAGUAAAUUAUAAGUGCUACAGAAAGCACUAUGUAGUAUUCAAGAUCCAUGUAUUCAGGGUUAAAACUGAGUUUAUAUACACACAUACUAAACAAAGCUAUAGAACAAUUAUUCAAGCUGCAAUGUGGACUAUGCUACAAGAGUUAGAAUGCUUUCUUUUCAGACGUAGUUGAUUUGAAUACAACAAAAAAUUGUUCAGACAGCCAACUGAAACCUUGAAAACACUUUUCAAUCUGUAGAUACAACUGUAUCAGCAAAAUGUUGAUCAGAGUUCAAAUGGAAACAUUAACUAGUCUAGCUAGCCUUCUGGUGUUUUCAUUGCUUAAUUCACAAAGAGAAUCACACAAUGGAUUUUUCCGUAGUAAUAACAUUUUGCUGCAAAAUUGUAUGGUCUGUGGAUAUGACCAUAGAAUUUGUCUUGUCUCCAAAUUUUCUAUUCUGUACAUCUUGAGUCUCAUUUUAUUCCUUUUUCACUUCAUUAAACAAUAAGGAUUUACCUUAAAUCAAGCAUUUUUUAGUAUGUUUAUUAUCUCCCAUUGUCCUUUGUAAUGCCAUAUUGUUACUGCCCAGCUCGACAUAAAAACUACUCUUUUUACUUCUCAUACUAGCCAUUUUGCAAGCCUGAGCUUCUUUGUGGUACAGGUCAAGUACUUAUGGAGUAAAGUUAAGUGAAUUUUUCUUGUGCAGGAAUGUCUUCAUUUAAAGAAAAAGAAAAAGGCUGCCCCAGUCCUUGUUUUUUAAAUAGAAACAUUUUUUAUUUAGAGCAUCUUGUAUUUUCUACUGAAUAUAUCAUAGUGUAGUAAGAGUUAUAUUUUGCUUUAGGCAUAAUGGUUUUUAAAAUAGCCCAAUUAAUUACAUAGAUGAGUGUUUAUCUUAUAAAACAGCUAAUUUUAAAAUAGCUUAUCCAUAUGAGUUCUUUAAAAGGCAACUAACUCUUAAUAUUUUAAAAUAUGAUUUGAUUUAUAAUAAACUUUCUGCAAGUGAGGGAGGCCUUUAAUCUUUAUUAAGAGGGGGUAAAUGAUAAUGAAUUAUUUUUGCCAAGACAGUUUUUUCCUCUUAAAACUCAAGUAGUCCUAUCAUUUUCACUUUUUUCUCCUUGUUCCAAAAAGAAGUGGUGAAUGUUUUGCACUGUUUGUUGGCUAUGGCUGUGUCAUGAGGGUUCUACUAUGAUUGAUUAGUGGAGGGCCACUAUGUAUUUUUUAUAUAUUUUCACUAUGGAAUAGUAUUGGAUUUUUUUUUUAAGUCAGCAGUGAGGAAUGGUGGAAAGCAUUUGUUCCAUUUAAUAAUUUAUAAUAGCUAAUUUCCCAGUAAGGAGCCUACCAAAACAUGAUAGAUAUAUCUCACUUAGAUGAAAAGUUGUCUGUAAGGUGAAUCAAAUCCUCUUUUAAUAUAUCAUAUGAAUAUAUAAAUCAUUUUUUCUCACCGAUUUUAUGGGGUAAAGUGGAGAUAUAUUCUAGAAAAUAAUUUGGUUUUUAAGGCAAAAAAUCAAAUUUUUUGGAGAAAAGACUCUUUCAGAUACAGUAAUAUGUAAGUCAUUCUGAGUGCAAAGUAGAAUUUUAGAUAAAUUUUAGAUAAAUUUAGAUAAAAUUUUAUUUUCGGCAUAGUAACUUAAUUUUUUUUUCAAUUGAGUAACUUUAAAGAUAAACUUUAUUUUUAUUUUUUGAACACAGUUAUAACCAGUAGUUUCAGAUUUUCAUCCUCUCCUUGAAAUGCUUCAAUAGAAAGAAUAUGUAACUCUUCUUUAAUGUUCAAUAUUCUAAUAUUUUAAAGAAGAAGCUAUUUUUAAAAAUUAAAAGAUUGAAAUAAAAGAAAGGAAUCUACAUUUAAACAGUUGAAAUUAUGAUCUUAAACUAAACUAGCAAAUUAUUAAAUAAGCAAACCAUUUCUUAGAAGCCAUGUAACAGUGAACUAAAUUCAAUCCAAUAAACUAUCAUUGAGCACCCACCUGCACAGUGGACAGCGUUCAGCAGUAGAAAUGUGGUAUUGCCUAAGAGUAACUAGCUCACAGCCUAAGAGACAGUCAGGCACAUAAAUGGAUACUUAGAAUACAAAGGGCAAGUACCUUGAUAGAUGAAAAUAUAGGACAUCAUGGGAAUGUCUACGACUCUGAAUUCACUUUUGGGAAAUCAGGCGAGACUUCUUUUCUCCAAGACUUCUUUCCUCCAGAAUCUUACCUGAUUUCCCAAUUUACCUGAUUUCCUGAAUUAGGACCUGAAGAAUAAUUGAAGUAAGCUAAACAGAGGAAGGCCUUGAAGAGAGAGAGUGUUGCAGGUUCAGAGAAUAGCAGGUAAAUAGCCCAACUGCUGUUGUGUCAGAGAUUGAUGUAUAAUUUGGUCUGGCUAGACCAUAGGGUUCAAAGGUAAUGGAAAAUAGCGAGAGAUUAGUUUGCAGUGGUAAAGUGAGACCAGAUUAUGAAGGGAUUUAUAAGAUGAUCUGAAAAUUCAAGAGUUUUUCAAAGAGUUUUUUAGUAAGAUAAUGACAGGAUCAUAUUUAGAAUUUAGAAGUCAGCUUGGCAGAAGAGUGGAGAAUGGCAGGGAUUGGGCAGAUGAUGGCAAGAUCAAACUUACAGAGACUAGUUGCUUUAGAAAAUAGAUGAGAGGUGAUGGUACCAUUCUUCUAGAUAGUGAAUACUAGAGGAGAUUCAAGUUUGAAAGUGGAAGAAUAUGAAUUUAGUUUUUAACAUUUGAUUUGAAGUGUCUGUAGACCAUCUAAUUUGAGGUGUCCAGAAAGGAACUGGAUAUAUGAAUAUAGAGCCAAGCUCAAGAAAGAACGAAGUUAGAUAUAUAGAUUUGGCAGUUAAUCAGCAUGAGAACGUUAACUGAACCCACCGGAGUCCACAAGGGUCUUCAGGGCUCUCCAUCUUUAUCAUCAACAUAUGAUAAUGAUUUCAUUACCUAAUUCAUCAUGAUUCGGAUAUGAAGGCAUUGUGAAAUAUUUAAUGUACUAUACCAGUAUAGGAUAUUAUUAACUGUAAUGAAGAGUACAUUUACUAAAAACGUUGCUACAAAACUAGUGUAGUAAGCUCUGGGCCAGUGUAGACUAUCAUUUGGGGCAGGAAAAAAACUAGGUAUUUUGCCAUGAUAUCUUGAAAUGUGUGCAAUUGGCUCUUGGUAUCUACUCAUUAAACCAACAAUCAUGGAUGGAAAAUACAAUACUUGCAGGCCAACUUUUUGUAUUGGUGGGUUCUGCAGGAAUGAUUGCAGGAACAUCCAUAGAUUUUGGUAGUGAGGCAUCCUGGAACCUCUGGAUCCUAUGGGAUGACUGUAUAUAUUGUGGAAUGGCUAAAUUGAGAUAAUUACCAUAUGUAUUACCUCACAUACCUGUUUUUUUGUGAUGGGAACACUUAAAAACUACUCUCUUGGCAAUUUUUAAGAAUACACUCUAUUGUUAUUAACUGUACUCACCAUGUCAUAUAACAGAUAUGUUGAACUUCCUAACUGAAAUUUUGUUAUCUUUGACAAACAUCUCCCCAACCCCCUCUCCACCAAACUCCUGGUAACCACCACUUUACUCUCUACUUCUGUGAGUUCAGACUUUUUAGAUAACAUAUGUAGGUAGACAUAAAUGUACUUUAUGGGUUUCAUAUUCUUUAACUCAUGUAGCCCUUCACUCCUCACUUCAGCUUUGUGAAGAGAGGUAGGUAUUUUUGCUGUUGUUUUCCAAUUUUAAAAAAAUGUAGUCAUAUCUAGUAACUUUCCCAAAGUCUUUGAUUGCUCACUAGUGAGUGAUAAAUUAAAACUUUGAAGAGGGACCUGGGUAGAGAGAAAUAAGCAAAAAAAAUUUCAAUGAGAGAUCUAUAACCUUACUGCAUUCAAUUGUAUGUAGAUAGGAAUUACACCAUUUUAAAAAUGUAUUGUUUAUUUAAAACUUGAAUACCCUAUCUCUAACUCUGUUCUAGGUGCCUUGGUAUCAGUACCAGAAUGUUGUACAGUUUCUGAAAAUUAUUUUCAGUAUAGCAGUUAAGGAAAUUAAGACUUAAAAGCCAUUGGUCCAGUUUUGAUAAGAAAUAAAGUUGGAAGCUGGGUGCAGUGGCUCACACCUUUAAUUUCAGCACUUUAGGAAGGGCCAAGGUGGGAGAAUUGCUUUAGCCCAGGAGUUUGAAACCAGCCCGGGCAACAUAGGGAGACCUCAUCUCUAGAAAAAUAAAAAAUAAAAACAAUUAACCGGGCACAGUGGCAUGUGCCUGUAGUCCCCCAACUACUUAAGAAGCUGUGGUGGGAGGUUCACUUGAGCUUGGAAGUCAAGGCUGCAGUCAGCGGUGAUUACACCACUGCAUUCUAUCCCGAAAGACAAAGUGAGACCCUGUCUCAAAAAAGUAAAAUAAACAAGCAAAUAAAUAAAGUUAUAAAUAAAGGAUAUACUUUCUUCAUCUCUUCGUUUGACACUAAGACAAGUCACAAACCUGAAGAGUAUUGCCUAUUUGUUAGGGAAAAAUCCUAUUGUUUCUCCACUUUUUUAUCUAGGUAUGAAUCUAUUAAAAAUUAACUUUAGUGUUAUAUAUAAGCCAGCAUAAACAAUAGUAGAUUAUGUUCGUAUAAUGCUUUAAUAUUUACAUACUUCGACAUGUCUUCUCCAACAACCCUUGCAGUUCUCAGAGGAGGUAGUCAGAACAGGUAUUAACCUAAUUUUAUUUUUGAACAAACGGGUUCAGAAUGUAAAGUCAGCUUGUUUCAGAGCUAGAACUUUUCCUAUUAGAACCACCUUGCUUUUAGAUGUGCAAUCUGUUUAAAUAUUAAAAUAAUUCAGAAUCGCAAAUUAAAAUAAUGUUAUUGCAGUUCUUUUAAUUUCCUGUCUGGAGUGUUUCAAUAGUGGUUCCUAUAUUAUCUGGGAAGUUAAACCAAAUGUUCUUUUAUACUCUUUUAGACUCUACAACUUCAGUUAAUCCAGAUUUCCUGCCUAAUAACAUGUUUGGCAGCCGGGCAUCUCUGGCUGCCCUACCCUUCUAAGUGAUUAGAACCUAUUAAAAAGAAGUGUUCAGUGAAAGGCAGGGAAAAGGCCUUUUUUGGAUACCUGUGUGUUGCAUAUAGCUAAACCCUGCUAGGCACCUUCAUGUGAAUCCUUGAAGACACCAUGAUGGAAUCAAUAAGCAUGUCAUAAUUCAAGUAGAAGCUUAUUAUGAGUGCUAGAUGAUAGCCAGGUACUAAAUACUUUUCUGAUUUUACUACUUCGGACAUUGCUCCUACAUCUUUACCUGGAAUGCUUUGUCUCAUGUCAGUCUGCCCAGAAGUAAAUUCAACCAGCCUUCAAAGCCAGCUCAACCAAUACUUCCUUUGUAAAGCUUUCCCUACUUACUCUAAGUGAUGAUGUAAAAUUUUUACAACAAUUUGUUAUUAAUAUUUUCGUUAGUUGUGCAUAUCUCAUCCCUUCUUUGGUUUCUUUGUUAUCGAAAAUUGUCUUCCCAUAACCUUGAAUAUUGUCCGUUUCCCUUAGAAAAGGGAAAUGUGGGAAAGGUAGGGAGGUGGUUAUAUCAACCAGAUUUUUGCUUCUUAAAAUGGUCUUUUGUUGAUAUGAGUCUGUGGUCCCAUUUAUUGUAGUGACAGUAUCUUGGUAGUGCAAAUUACUGGGUACAUAGGAGAACCACAGAAGGGACGAUGGUCAUGUCCUCCAGGGAUAUAUCCGAAUAUCUGAAUCCUGCUCUGGAGCCCAGUUCUUAUUCUCUAGUAGCCUUGAUCCCAUUCUCUGUACCAAACAUAGAGUUUACUUCGUUCCCUGUACGAGCCAAUUCCCAGCCCCAGUAAGCCAGGAAAU